AAAUUUUUUCAGUCCAAGAGACUGAAAAUGCCUGAACUUGUGAUUCCUUAGAUGACCCAGAAAGAAUGUGGGUCUACGUGUAUCUUUGCAGGGUAGGUGAUGUGGAGAAAACAGAAGGGGACCUAUAUCUGAUUUACACCUGCUGCUUUGUGAUGAGAGCACUUUGUUCUAGAGACUGUAAAGAAUUCAUCUGGCUUGCACAAGUGGCUAUCUUUGUUCCUAUGGCCGCACACAAGGUGGUUGUGUAUCGCGUUACUGGCAGUCAGGACUCUUCGAAACAGCCUUUAUCUGCCCAUUUGCUUUUGAUACAGUUGUUCGCAGCACUGUGGUGAUAAGUGGAGAACAAACAUGUGGAACCGGUACGGUUAAGAAAACACGCAGGGCCUGGGAGGCUGCUUGAAUGCAAGUCUGCCCGCAGCAGCAUCUGGCUCUCACCUGAGCAACGUUUUCUAGAAUGAACCUCCGAGUGAUAUAGGAGGGCUUCCACAUGCUUCACGCCAGAGUUUCUCAUCAGCAUAGAUCCUUGCAUGAAGCUAAGUAGAAGGAAGAGGAAAAAGUCUAUGCUAAAGUUCUCCAUAUGCUGUAAUGAGAUACCUACAGUUAUGUAGAGGGGGGAAAAAAGCUUUGAAAAAUGAAGAAUGAUUACACUGUCACCAGCAGUUGUUUCCUUCUAACCUCAGGGAUGGAGGCGGUCUAAUGACCCCCUAAUGUCUUCAGUAAUCUACUGAAAUAUGUCAAUAGUAUACAGAGAUAUUGCAGAACCGAUUUACCAUUGUUUAAGUGCACUGUGGGACAGUAAGAAGUUCACAAAGCUAUUUUUUUUGAUUGCUUUCUGUUUAAUCCCCAGGGAGAAACUUCCAUGACCUGCAUCUGCAGUGGGUAUAAUACUUUGUUAUAACACAUCGUAUUCAUAUUUUUGAGUCUGUACAGAUAAAUAUUUUAGGAAGCAUAACUAAGGAAGUUGAAUAUUUUUUCUUGUCCACAAGGGACUCUUUGGCCUCUGGAGAGGAUGCUUCCUGGGUUAAAAAUGAGACAUUCUUUGGUUAUAUUUGGCUAAUGUUCAUUGCAUAGACUCUGUGACUUGCUUAUGAAUUAGCAUGAAAAUUAAUCUCCUUCUUAAGAGGAUAUAUAGAUUAGGGGAAGCUUGAGAGAUUAUUAUAUCCUGUUUGAGAACAUACCAAUUGAAUAGAGCUUAAUAUUAUUCAUCACCAUACAUUUCUAUCUGGCAUUAGCAUAAUAUACCUGUAUAGUAACUUAAGAAUCUAUUACUUUAUUACUGAAGAGCAUUCACAUGUUUACUGCAAUGUUUCAAACCGUCACUUUUAGCUGUGGGUAAAAGUACAAUUUAAUGCAGUUGUAUUUUUGACUGAAGGCAGAUGAAUAUAUUGCUAAUAAAGUCUGUUGUACCAGUGCA
rnacentral:lncRNA from 1 species